UACGAAGGGGGCUAGCGUUGUUCGGAAUUACUGGGCGUAAAGGGCGCGUAGGCGGUCUCGUAAGUCAGGCGUGAAAGGCCCGGGCUCAACCUGGGGACUGCGCUUGAUACUGCGGGGCUUGAAUCCGGGAGAGGAUGGCGGAAUUCCCAGUGUAGAGGUGAAAUUCGUAGAUAUUGGGAGGAACACCAGUGGCGAAGGCGACUUCCUGGCCUGUUCUUGACGCUGGGGCGCGAAAGCUAGGGGAGCAAACGGG
rnacentral:rRNA from 1 species